AAACUGAAACACCCCUAUCAGUUGCCAUUUUACUUUGGACAAGGCUUGACUAGAUUUGUACCUGAAAACGCAAUAUUUGAUGAGGAGGCGUGAGUGCAGUUCUCUUUAGUAUUUUGUAAAGAAAGUGUGUCCUUGUUCAAAUUUGAUCGGAGUUAUCGGCGCAAGGGAGCAGCGGUUUGCACAAGAAGGGCUCAUCUCGGACGUGAGUAUUGCCAAUGCUAACAGAUGGUAUAUGCCAUGAAUUGUAAGGAAGCUGCAGAGAAGGUUGUCUUGUCAUGGUCGCGAUUCACCUCAGCUGGCCAAACUACUCUACUGGAGACCCUGAAGGCAUUCAGUCCUAUGUCAGAUGACCUUUUUGACAGUGAAAAGGAACUGGCCACUUUUAUUGAGGGACUCAAAGAUGAAGGUCACAAGCCUACUGUACUUAAAAGUAAGGAUGUCUAUGGUUACAGGUCUUGUACUUCAGUACUCAGGCCUUUAGUAAAGACGCAGAGUACUCUGGACAUUGCUACCUCAAAGGUUAAAAAGACUGGCAAAAGGAAGAGUCGAAAACCCCUGGACAAGAACACUGAAAUCAACUAUGCUUUGUUAAGUGCAGCAGCGAAAGUCGUCCUGAAGAAUCAACCCAAGAUUCUUUUGACAAAUCUGUCAAAGGAGUCUCUCAAACAGACGGUCCUCUCAAAACCACCGGACUUGGCUGUUGGCCCUGUCCAGAUGCAGUCAUACAUAAGACUGACAAACAUAAUUGGACCCUCUACAGGCCACACAGCAAGACUGCAGUUCCACACAGGUGUGGUCAGAAGAGGUAACGGUACCCAACUCUCAUCGGCCACCAUCUCUAACAGGGACACAAGCACUGCAUUUGGAAGGUACCGGAAACUCCGAAAAAUCAGUCACUUUGAGGAGAGUGAACUUUGUGCCUUGCCCAGUCAAUAUCAUUGGAGUCCCUGUUCCUGCCAUGCUGCACAACGACCGGUUUUUGAAGGAAUGCAACAGAAUGCCUUGCUGGAGGGACCAGAAAAUGAGAAGGACUGAUGAGGCUGAGGACUAACUCUGUGAAGAGGCCCAGAAAAGGGGUCUGGCUGGUCAAAGAGCAGGAAGACCUCUGACUGAGCCAGAGCAACCGGAGGUUCGAGGUGAAGGUUGACUCAAUCAUUGACAAGGUGAGGUAAGCCCAGAAGAUCCUUCGAGGUCACCGGUCAGAGAUUCGACCACUUAUUGCCUACCCAAUGUGAACGGCCGUCAAGAGUCUUAUUCCUUUUGUCCUCCAUGUACAUGUUCAAACAAGUUUCAGUUACAUCUCAAAUCGAGACGGUGCUUUGUCUUGGCUGUGCUCAGUUUGGGAGGAUUGGGAUUGUUUGGGAUACUUUUCUGAGAUUGGGAAAAAUAAUAUUUAUGUUCAAUAUAUGUUUACAUAAGAGGAUGCUGGUGUAUUACCUAAACAUCCAAAAAUCUGGUUUGUUUUGUCUAACACUGCACAUAGUAUAGGCCACCCCUUGACUGAUAAGGGAAGGAAUGGAUAAGUGGUGAGUUGAACCUACAGUGUGUGUGUAAUGUUAUAUAUAUUCUUCUUUUGAACCAUUAUGAAAUGUAAUUUUCUUCUGUUUUAUAAAUGAUACACACAUCUUUGACAAUGAAGUCAUGUAUAACUAUGCAGCAUUCACUUGCUAGAAUAUUACAGCUAUUUUAUAUACAUUUCUAGUCAUGUCAUUACUGUAUUUUGGAUAAUUGGGUCCAUUCAAAUAGUGUUUUCUUUUUUUUUUUUUUUUUUUUUUUUUUUUUUUCAUGUGUUAUGAAGGUAGUUUUGUUUUUGGAUGUGAUAAGUUAAGAGCUCCUAUACAUCUGUUAAAGGAUGCAUAUGGAACAGGGCAAACAACAACCACAGCGUAGCCUAUUCACAACCAAUACUGCCCUAUCAAGCUAAAAAGGCAGUAACUGGUCAAAUGAGCUGUUUAUUUUUUUCCUUCAUGAAAUACAUGUGGACAAGUAUCCUGCCUCUUGUGUUUUGGAGAAAGUGAGGGUCAUGUUAGCAGUUACUGUGAAACAAGGUAAAUAAAAGCCAUCUUUCUCAGUUCUACACUAUGAGCAGUUAGUGCCUUUUUUUUGCUUUGUAGGGCAGAAUAGUAAUCUUAUUUCUCCUAAUUAAAAAAAUAAAAAGCUACCUUUUUUUUAUUUGCAUUUGCAUAGACAUUAAAAAACAUUUGGUUUCCUGCCAAUUACGCGUGCCAGCACUCGAUAAACUUGUGGAGUAGUACUCGAUGCGUAGCACUGCAAACAGUGCAGCAUUUUAGAGCUAUCCUAUGGAGAGAAAUUGCAACAAUGUUCUGACACUAGCGCAGUAAUCAAAUUACAUGUCACAAUGUUUUGAUUAAUUUACAGAUGUCGAUAGUGAUGACAGGGUGAUUUGCAUAAUAUAGACUUUGCUGAAAUGUGUUGAUCAUAACAGCUGUAAUAUAACCAGUAAUUUUGUAAUAAAAUAUGAGACGCUGGGAUGAAUUGAUCAGGGGUAUGUUCAUUCAACAAAUAACCCGUUUCUUGUACAAAUCAAUGCCCAUACGUCCAAAAGGCUACUGACUGGGAGUGUAGUCAUAAGGUCUGAAUGCUAACUGCCACAAUCUCAUAUUAGAAAACAUGCCAUGGUCUCUGCAUAUAAAACUCCGAGCAUAUUAUUCAAGCCAUUAUUGAGGGUACAGAACAGCACACGAAUAAGGCAGCAAGAGAGAGGGAAGUUAGCAGCCCAUGGGACCACCAGGUGAAUAGGUGCAUGCAUUUUCCACCUAUCAAAACCCUGCUAACAACAAAUGUUCCCACACCUUCAGAGCAAGUUCCCUUAAGAGUCUACCGUUUUCAUAGGAAUGUUCCAGUGGAGUGCAAGGACUGUUUCCAAGAGACCAGUCCGUUAAUGUCAAACACAAUUUACCCAGAACGUGGUUACCAUGUUCACUGAAUAUUCAAUGUUCUAGAUACGUUUUCUAAGGGUUGGGAGAAUAUUCCAAUGUCCCACCAAACAUACACAGAACAUGGCAAACUCUAAAAUAUGAAUGUUCUAGACACGUUUCAUUGUAACGUUGCCAGAACAUUUGUGUCAGUUGUCCGGAAGUCUCCUGAUGAUCCCAAA